AUGAGCAGCAACAGCAAAACUCAGCCUCGGAGAGUCUUUUUUUCCAAGGAGCACCACCACCACCACCACAACACCAAGCUCACAACAGCAAGUCCACAGAGAAAAAAAAAUCUCUGUAAAGUACACAAGCGGUCCAGCCAAGGCUCUUCCUGUUCCAGAACGCGCAGUCCAGCAGGCAACCACUCUUUCUUCCUCUGCCGCAGCACCAAGAAGCAGCCGAAAAGCACCAGCAGCUCAGCAAGCUCCCAGGAACAGCACAAGGCAGCAGCAGCUGCUGCAGAUCCUCCUCUGUUCAGCAGCACCAACAGCAGCAGCUCCCCGCCUCAGCCUGACUCGCACGCAGCCCAAAUCCGCUGCCGCCUUCUUCCUCCUCCUCCUCUUCUUCCCGCCGCAGCCGCCUGCACAGCCCGCAGCAGCCCUCCUCGGCCGCCCCCUUCGCAGCUAGCCACCCCAGGGACACGAAGCAGGACAAGAGGAAGCAGCUCCCUCCCGGCCGCGUUGCAGCUCCUCGAGCCCAGCCCAGCCGCCGCCGCGCGCACCACAACAGACCCGCCGCCUCACGCACGCACGAGCCUCCUUUCUCGCCUGACCCCGCUGGGCCCCACCGCCGCCUCUCCAGCGAGGGACUACGCCGCCACCUUCGUCGCCUGGCUCGAUACCAUGUUGAAUCGGGAGAAGGGUACCUUCACACAGCGCCUCCCCUCCUGUCUUGUUGCCUGCGUGAGUGUGUGUCUUGGAUGUGGCGGCUCUGUCUGGGGCAGGGGGAAGAGGGGCUCCUCUUCUAGGUCAGCACCUCUCAUGGGCUUGGGCCCAAGAGACAGAUCUUGA
rnacentral:rRNA from 1 species